UUUCCAACUUAUUCAUUUAUUCUCAAUUUGUCUUAGUGUAAAAACCUUCAGAAGGGUACGUACGUACCACAUGUGAAUAAUAAUCAAAAUUACAAAAUACGUACAAUUGCCAGUAUGUUCUUCAUUAUGUAAACAAACGCACAAACUUUAUCACAAGAAUGACAAGAUACACGACCUAAUGAAAAGAAUUUCUGAUUUUGGGGGCUCCCAUGGUGGAGCUUUAUCUAUAUAUAUGUUCACUGUCCAGUAGCCAUGACGAACGGAGGGGGAGGCUUGGCAUGGCCUGCAAACUUCAUACCGUUAUGGCAAGGUGGGGCGCCCUUUUCCGGGAUAUGGCUGCAUGAACUGCUUCCAGAGGGAGGCACAGGACCUGAACUCAGAGAUUGCAAAGGAACAAAUCUUAUCUUGAUCCACUCUUCUUUCUCUCCAUCAAGAACCCUACCAGCACUGUGUGGUUGGACGCUCAGAACAAGGACAAGUGCCGUGACAGCUAAAGCAAUGUUGAGAAACCUCAUGAUCGAUCUUUGGCGGGUUAAGCAAAGAGGAGAUGAUCAAAGCAAUAUUUUUAGAUGGACAAAUUAAUAUGCAUAUAUGAUAUAUGGAAGAGAACGACCAUCUCGGUUAUUUAUAUGCUCCCAAUGGUAUGACUGGAGUUUUUGGUAGUUUGGCUUGUUUGAAGGGUUUCUUUGACUGUUGACUUACUAAUAGUGUUUUGCUUUGGGAGAUUGAAAAUUGAAGUGGUCUUAAAGAAGAAACUACGUCUGAAAAUACUUGAUUACUGUACACAUGAGCAUGCAUCUUAUGACCUUUUUGAACACCAAAAAUUAUGUGAGAAGGAAAAUGAUUUUAAUGUUAAGUUGGAGAGUUGCCUUGGUUGUCCUUAAUCAUCAUUCCCUCCCUAUUGAAUUAGGUUCACAUACUAGUUGGUAAAAGCCAUUUAAUAAAAAAAUUAAGAAAUAUUUACAAACUAGGUUAGCGUUAAAUAAGAUCGAGUACACUAUUUGAUCUAGGCAUUUUGGAGGUUCUUUCUUACAACUUGAACUUCCUUAAGGGGGCAUUAAUUUUGAAAAAUGAAUGAAGUUAUGGAUGAAGUGUCUUCACUUAAACGGGAGCUUAAGGCUAUAUUUGGUUCUCAAAAAUUUUAAGGGAAAAUGCGAGGGAAAUAAAAUAGAAGUAAUAGAAGUAAAAAUAAAAUAAAAUGAAAAAUAAUUUUAAAAUUAAUAAAUUAUAUUUUGUACUUGCAUUGUUUCAAAUUUUUUUACUUAUUUUAAUAUUAAAUAAUUUUAAAAUAUAUAAAUUUCUAGCCAAUUUCAAUUAUAUUUUAUUCUCUUUCACAUUUUCCAUAUGAAAAAAACCAAACACGAUAAAAUCAUUUUCCUUAUCAUUUUCUUUCUUUCCUUAGACAAUUUUGAAUUUCUCAAAAUUCUAAGAUUUUUUUAAAAGAUAUUAGACUCUUAAAUUCUUUAAAAUAACUCUUUAAAAAAUUAACCAUCUAAGUCUCAUUUGAUCCUUUGGACCAUAAUAUCCUAGUACAAAAAUUUCAAAAAGAUUGAUUGAAAAUAGAGAGCAGCUUAGGUACUUUUGAACCACUCGUGUUGCUUAAAGUUCUGGGAUGUUUUGGCUAGAUUUUGACCCCUUGUUAAUUUGAUAUGUUAGUAAACUGAAAAUAGAACCAAAGAGUAAAAUUCCACUCCAUUCUGAAUUUGUUUGCAUUAGAAAAGAAUUUCUAAAAUAUCAAUGGGUUUUCAAUACUAUGUGCUAAGAUAGUUUUAGAUUCCCAGAAUUUGUGUAUAUUAUUUGGGUCUCUUAUGAGUUUAUAAAUUAUUUUUUAAUUUUAUAGACUUAUUGUAGAAUAAAUCUUGAGAGUUUUGUAAUUUUUGAAACUCAUUUGGCUAAUGAAAAAACCGAGAAAAUGAGUAGCAUUGUAGAAUACUUUGUUUUUAGCAAAUCUAGAACCAAUUUAGGUUGAAGAUUGAUUGAUGAUCUUUCGCUGACCAUUUGACUUGGUUAUUAAUCUUCAAGGUAUUUAAAUUCAUCAAACAUAUUCAUUGACUUGAGUUCCACUUGAAUUGAACUUUGUUUGCCUAGAUUUGUUUUUAAAAAAAACUUUGUAUCUUUUCAUCUAGGGUGUUGUUUGGGUGAAAAUAGGCUUGCAAGACCUUAGAAUCCUAGUUUCCCGUUUUUAUAAAAUUAUCAAAUAUCUUUAAAUUUUCUUUUUUAGAGGAAAACUUAGAUUUUGAGGAAGCAUCAUAUUGUAAAAAAUAUUAACUUUUUAGUAUAGAUGUUUUUGUGAGUAGUUUGAUACAUAUGAUUUUAUUAAAUUUUUCAGAAAGUAAAUAUCUAUAAUUGCUUAGUUUUAUUAACAUAUGUUCUAUAUUGCUUGCUUAGUUUACUAAUAGCAUAAAAUAUAUGUUGAAUUUCUAUUUCGUGAAGUGCAUUGAUUAUUGAGUUUGCAAAAAUAAAUGUUGCUUUGUCUUUAAGUAAUUAUUUAAUGACUUAUGUGUAUUGACAAUUCACGAAAUUACAAAUUGUGUUAUGAUUUAAAUAAAAUAUAGAAACAUUUGGGCAUUUAUAACUAAGGGGCAUCAGAACAUGCACAUCCACGAAGUAUUUCAUGCAAUUUUGUUUUGGAACUCUCCACCAAUUGUGUAGUAAGAGGAAAAUCAUAAGACAGGGUUAUGUGUUCUAAUGUCAGUAUAGGUGGUAGAGUUCACAAAGUAUACCCUUUUGUACCCUUUAAUGAGAUAACCAGACAAUGAGUUUUGUGGUAUUAUGAUCAAGGAUAGUAAAACCCUAAAGAGCACGUAGAUAUGCGGUAACCAUAAAGAUAAUAGGCUUGUGUAUAGUUAAUGGAUUGACCAUAAAUAUGUCUAGACUUAUGAUUUUAUUAUUUAUAUCUUACAUGUUCUUUAAAUGUUAUUAUCAUUACAUUAUGCUAGUUUUUGUACAUCAUAACUAUCUACUAAAUCGUCUAUUCACUCCCAUAGAUUUUAAUGUUUUUCAAGUAAAGACUCUCAGUAUACUUAUCGAGGAUGUAGAAUUAGUUUCAGAGAGCAAGUCACUAAAUACCUAGCUUUGUGUCUUUUCUUAUUAAACUUGUGGGAUAUGUAGUCCAUUUCCUUUAUGUAUUUUAAUUUUAAUUUAGUUGUUUUCAACUAUAUGCCUCAUCUUGUCAACCUUUGUUUCCAUUAUUAAUUUAUUUUAUUGUUGUUGCUUUAUCAACAUUAUUUAGUUGUAUGUUUUUUGUUUUUUUUUUCAUACAAUAUAUUUAUCUACUGAGACAAUAAUUUCAUUUUAGAUUAUGAUACAAAGUGGGCUCAUUAUCUCUUAGUGGACCCUUUUUAGGCCGGUCCUUACAAAAUAAGUUCCUAAUGAUAUUCUUAUAUAUUAGUUUUCUUAUCCCUUCAUGAAUUACAUAGUAAUUUUCUCUUAUUGGUGUAGACAUGUUUUUAGGCUGUUUGAAUUUAGACCCAAGGAAAAUAAUAUUUACACUAAAAAAUGAGUUGUUCUGCUUCAUUGUCAAACUAAUAAAAAGACUACCAUGAAUAUAUAUACAUAUGAUCACAAAUAAUCAGCCUUACCAACAUAUUUUUAGUCUUUGAAUUAAAUACAUUUUAUCCCAUCAACCUUUUACAUGUUUUACUAGUUACCCUUCACAUUCAAAAUCCAACAAACAGCAAGCACACAUGAGUAUGUGCAUCAUUCAACUUGUUCUUUUUUAUUUCUAUAUAUAUAUCACAAAGUGUAAAAGUCCAUUAGGGUACAAAAUGUGAAUAGUGAAAAAGAAUACACAAAUGACAUACAACCAAUUUGUGUUAUUAUUAUUUUUUUCUUUAUUCAUUUAUCAGAAUGAAAAUAUAUAAAAACAAAAAAUGCAAGGCCUACAUAUUCAUUUUAUUCGUUAUGGUCUUAUAGAAGUCCUAAAAUACGUAGUUAUGUGCUCAGGACUCGUAAGAUGACCAUGCAUAGUGGAGCUUCAUUUACGUUCAGUAGCCAUGACAACCGGAGUGCUGGCAUGCGAACGUGCUCUAGGGGGAGGCAUGGCAUGACCCCCAAACUUCAUUCCAUUGGGACAAGGUAAGCCUUUUUCGGGGACACGGCUGCAUGAACUUAGUCCUGAAGGAGGGACAGGUCCUAAAAGCAUAGAUUUCAAAGGAACAAUCUUAUCUUCAUCCACUCUUCUUUCUCUCCAUCAAGAACCCUACUAGCACUGCCGGGUUGGACACUCAGAAUAAAAACAACUGCUGUGACAGCUAAAACAAUGUUGAGAAAUUUCAUGAUGAUCUUGGUUGGGUUAAGCAAACAGGAGAUGAUCAGGUAGAGCAAUAUUUUUAUGCGGGCAAUAUGAAGAUAUAUGGAGGAGAACGAUCACCGGUUAUUUAUAUUAAUGCUGCCAGUGGCAUGACUAGAGUUUUUGGUAGUUUGGCUUAGUUGAAGGGUUUUUUUUUUACUCUUGACUAAUAGAAUUUUACUGUAGGAGAUUAGAAAUUGAAUAGGUCAUAAAGGAAGAAAAUACCUAGAAUUACCCAAAUGACUAGUUUUCUUUUGUAGUUAAUUUAAUUCAACAUAUGAAUUUAUCUUAAACCAAUUAGAAAGAAAAUAUAUGAUAAUCUCUCCAAGAUUUUUUGAAAAUAGAUAUGAGAAAUUAAUCCAUUCCCAUUAACUUUAAUUAAUACUAAAGUACAUAAUUUGGCUUGGUUAAAUAUCAUUAGUUGUCAUUUCUGAGAAAAAUUCAGAUAAUUAUUGUUUUGGAGACCAGGUUCUACUAUAUAAUCACAUUUUUUUCACCAAAUUAAGCAAUAUUCGUAAAGCUUAUUUACAUUAUUGAUUUGUAAUUAACCUGUAUUGGACACUGAAGAAUCAAUUUAUAUGCUACAAGUACAAGUGAUAUUCACUAGCAUGUUCAGGAUACAUGGCCUUUUCUGUGCCAUAUUAAUUGCAUAAGGGGCUGCUAAAUCAUAUCUCAUAAAAAUUAAUCAUUUCCAAAUUGUUAGCAUUAAUCUAUAGCAAAGUUAAGUAUUAAUUCAAAAUUUUCUCAUCGUUGUAAAGAACUUAAUGGUAGAAAUAGGAGUAGAGAGACCAAUCUAGGUAGGUAUGGUCUAUGAAGACUUUUGUCUUAUAUAAUACGUACCAUUUACUUCAUUAUUUUAGAGGCAUUGAUUUUGAACAAAGAUAAAUUAAGUUGUGGUAGGAACACGUUUACUUGAAUUGGGGCUUGAAUGUUUGGGGCUUUUAGACGACAUACUUCUAGCAGAUUCAAGUCAUUGAACAUAACUCUACCAACACGCAUCAGCUUUUCCACCCUCAGGAGCCAUGAGACAAAGUCCAUUUCUAUGUAUAUAUGCACAUGUACCAACCCUCUUUAUUAUGACUCUACCCAUGUUGACAUAGUUUAACACGAGUUCAAAUUAGUAACUUAGGAUGAUAUUUAAGGCUUAAGCUAAAUUAUAUAUUUUGAUAAAUAUGGUUAAUAUGGUUAAUAUUAUCUGUCAUCCAACAACUUAAGGUUUUAAAUCAAAUGAGCAAUUUAACAAUUACACUAUCCUUAUUCCAUUAAUUGGAAGGCUCUUCGUAUCUUUUGCCCAAGAUAUCUAGGAAUUUUUAUUUUUUUUGCUUAAAUAAUAAUAUAAUUUAUAAAUAAAUAAUAUAUAUAUAUAUAUAACAGUAUUUUACAACGUAUUAAGAAAAAAUAUGAUAUUUUUCGAAGUCGGUCUUUUUUUAAAAAACAAUUUCACAAGCAUAAAUGGUUUUUAAGAAAAACAAUUUCUUGUUCAUAGAUAUCUUGUAUUUCAUCUCUUAUUUUCUUUCUUAUUUCAAGUAAGAUUGUUGUUUCAAAAUGGGAUUUUGACAUGAAUAUAGUACUCUUUUAUACCCUUAGGUGAGAUGACUAGGAGAUGAUCGAACUCUAUAGUAUUAUGAUCAAGGAUAGUGAGACCUAAAGAGCAUGUUGAUGAUACGUGGUGGCCAUGAAGGUAAUAGGCUUGUGUAUAGCUGAUGGAUUGACCAUAAAUAUGUCCAAAUCUAUUAUUUUAUUAUUUAUAUCUCAUACAUUUUUUAAACGUUAUUAUCAUUAUGUUAUGCUAGUUUUGGUACAUCAAAAUUACUCCAUAUAUAAUAUAUUUUAAGACUAUUUUUACCUUGUAUUAAUUAUCAUAACACAAGUGCAGCAUAAUUAUCCACUAAACCAUUCAUUCACCUAAUAGAUUUUAAUGGUUUUUUAGGUAAGGACUCUCGUAUGCCUAUUCAUGAGGUAGAAUCAGCUUCAAAGAACAAAUCACUACGUACCUAGAUUUGUGUUUUUCUUUAUUAGACCUAUCGGAUGCGUAAUCUAUUUCCUUAAUGUAUUUUAGUUGUUUUCAGUUGUAUGUCAUCUUGUCAACCUUUCCUUCCGCUAUUAAUUUAUUUUAUUAUUGUUGUUUUACCAAAAUCAUUAACUUGUGUGUAGUUUUUAUACUAAAUGUUUAUCUGUUGAGACAAUGAUUUCUUUUUAGAUUUUGAUGCAAAAUGGACUCACCGUCUCUUAGUGGGCCCUUUUUGGGUGGGUGUUUACAGAUCAAGUUUCUGAUAAUAUCAUUAUGUAGCAGUUUUCUCUUUACUAAUUACAAAGCAAUUUUCUCUUAAUGAUGUAGACAUGGUUUUAGGCUAUGGUUACACCUAAAGAAAAUAAUAUUUAUACUAAAAAAUAAGUUGUUCUGUUCUAUUAUCAAACUAAUGAAAAAGCUACCCUGAAUAUAUCCAUAUUAUCACAAAUAAUUACCCUUGCAUAUACUUCAGUUUUUUUCCUCUUCUCUAGCAUAUAAGUGCCGUAAACUUGGAUGCAUGAGCAAAGUUUGACAAAACACGCGGAUGAAUGCCGAACAAAGAUGAUGAAAAUGGAAGUACUGCUACAACCAGCAAUCAUAUAUGAGCAUAUGCAUCAUUCAACUUGUUCUUUUUUAUUUCUAUAUAUAUCACAAAGUGUAGAAGUCCACCAGGGUACAAACUGUGAAUGGAGAAAAAGAAUACACGAAUGACAUACAACCAAUUUGUGUUAUUAUUAUUUUUUCUAUGAGAAGGAAAAUAUAUCAAACAAAAGAACAAAAACAACAAAUGCAAGGCCUACAUAUUCAGUUUAUUCCUUGUGGUCCCAUAAAAGUCAUAAAAUACGUAGUUAUGUGCUCAGGACUCGUACGAUUUUCUGAUGUUGAGUGAUGACUAUUUAUGGUGGAGGCUAGAGCUUCAUUUAUGUUCGGUAGCCAUGACAACAGGAGUGCUGGCAUGCGAACGUGCUCUAGGGGGAGGAAUGGCAUUACCCGCAAACUUCAUUCCAUUGGGACAAGGUGAGCCUUUUUCAGGGAUAUGGCCGCAUGAACUUGGUCCUGAAGGAGGGACAGGUCCUGAUAGAAUAGAUUUCAAAGGAACAAUCCUUAUCUUCAUCCACUCUUCUUUCUCUCCAUCAAGAACCCUACUAGCACUGUGGGGUUGGACACUCAGAAUAAAAACCACUGCUGUGACAGCUAAAACAAUUUUGACAAAUCUCAUGAUGAUCUUGGUUGGGUUAAGCAAACAGGAGAUGAUCAGAUAGAGCAAUAUUUUUAUGUGGGCAAUAUGAAGAUAUAUGGAGGAGAACGAUCACCGGUUAUUUAUAUGAAUGCUGCGAGUGGCAUGACUAGAGUUUUUGGUAGUUUGGCUUAGUUGAAGGGUUUUUUUGACUCUUGACUAAUAGAAUUUUACUGUAGGAGAUUAGAAAUUGAAUAGGUCAUAAAGGAAGAAAAUACCUAGAAUUUACCCAAAUGGUUAGUUUUCUUGUGUAGUUAAUUUAAUUCCACAUAUGCGUGCAUCUUAAAUCAAUUACCAAGAAAAUAUAUGAUACUCUCUCCAAGCUUUUUCGAAAAUAGAUAUGAGAAAUUAAUCCAUGUCCAUUAGCUUUAGUUAAUAGUAAAGUAUGUAAUUUGGCUUGAUUAAAUAUCCUUAUUUUCACGAGAAAGUUAGAUAAUUAUCGUUUUGGAGACCGGGUUCUACUAUAUAAUCACAUUUUUUUUUCACCAAAUUAAGCAAUAUUCGUAAAGCUUAUUUACAUUAUUGAUUUGUAAUUAACCUGUAUUGGACACUGAAGAAUCAAUUUAUGUGCUACAAGUACAAGUGAUAUUCCCUAUCAUGUUCAGGAUACAUGGCCUUUUCUGUGCCAUAUUAAUUGCAUAAGGGGCUGCUAAAUCAUAUCUCAUAAAAAUUAAUCAUUUCCAAAUUGUUAGCACUAAUCUAUAGCAAAGUUAAGUAUUAAUUCAAAAUUUUCUCACGGUUGUAGAGCACUUAAAUAAGAGUAGAGAGACCAAUCUAGGUAGGUAUGGUCUAUGAAGACUUUUGUCAUAUAUGAUACGUACCAUUUACUUCAUUAUUUUAGAGGCAUUGAUUUUGAACAAAGAUAAAUUAUAUUGUGGUAGGAACACGUUUACUUGAAUUGGGGCUUGAAUGUUUGGGGCUUUUAGACGGCAUACUUCCAGCAGAUUUAAGUCAUUGAACAUUACUAACACGCAUCAGCUUUUCCACCCUCAGGAACCAUGAGACAAAAUCACACAAUUUCAACAAACACACAAGCCCAAUUUCAACAAUAAUCACUAUUAAAAUCAAAGGGAAAAAACUUACACAAUUUCAAAUUUUAGAAGGAUAAAAAAAUGAGAGAAAGUUGAUGAAAUGGAAGAAUGGGAGAGGAAAGGAGGGAGUUGUCGGUUGGCAGUGGCUAACCAGCGGCGGGAGGGAUGAUGGGUUUUUUUUUUUGGAAAUAAAAAAAAUAAAAUGAAAAAAGAAAUGGAAGGAAGGAAAUGAGGGGUGCAUGUGGCAGUGAAAAAAAUUGGGGGCCAGCCACUACCUUGUGUGGGAGCUGGGGAGGGAAAAAAAAACAAAAAACUCUAGAGGGGAGAUGGGAGGAGAGAGAAUGGGGAGUAGGUGGAGUGGUUGGGGAAUAAUAGGAAGAGAAAGGAGAGAGGAGAGAAAAAAGAAAGAAAAUGAAGAAAAGAAAUAGAAAUAAAAUAAUAAUAAUAGUAAAUAAUAAUAAAAUAAAAUAAUAAAAACUAAUAAUUAGAUGGUGAGUUAGCAAAAAAUAUAAAAUAUAAUCGAAAUUUAAAAACUAAAAAUAAAAUUGGGUUAAAAAUUAAUGUAAAGAUAAAAUUGGAACAAAUUUUGGGAUCUACAGCUCUUCGUAUAUAUCCUCUAUCCAAGAUAUCUAGGAUUUUUUUUAAAUAAUAAUAUAAUUUUAAAAUAUAUAUAUAUAUUACAAAAAUAUAAUAUUUUUGAAAGUUGUCUUUUUAAAAAAUGAUUUCACAUUCACAAAUUGUCUUUAUAAAAAAUAAAAACAAGUUUUUGUUAAUAGCUAUCUUGUAUUUCAUCUUUUAUUUUCUUUCUUAUUUCAAGUAAGAUCAUUGUUUCAAAAUGCGAUUUUGACAUGAAUAUACUCUUUUAUACCCUUAGAUGAGCUCUAUGGUAUUACAAUCAAGGAUAGUGAGACCUUGAAGAGCAUGUUGAUAUGUGGUGGCCAUGAUGGUAAUAGGUUUGUGUAUAGCUAAUGGAUUGACUAUAAAUAUCUCCAAAUCUAUUAUUUUAUUAUUAUAUGUCAUACUUUUUUAAAAUGUCAUUAUCAUUAUGUUAUGCUAGUUUUUGUACAUCAAAAUUAUUCCAUAUAUACUAUAUUUUUAAACUGUUUUUACUUUGUAUUAAUUAUAUCCUAACACUUGUGCAUCAUAAUUAUACGCUAAACCAUUUGUUCACCUAAUAGAUUUUAAUGUUUUUUAGGUAAGGACUCUCGUGCGUAUGCCUAUUGAGGAGGUAGAAUUAGCUUCAAAGAACAAGUCACUAAGUACCUAGACUUGCGUUUUUCCUUAUUAGACCUGUAGGAUAUGUAGUCCAUUUCCUUCAUGUAUUUUAGAUGUUUUCUUUAAUUUGUAUGUCUCAUCUUCUCAAUCUUUGCUUCCACUAUUAAUUUAUUUUGUUGUUAUUGUUUUAUCAAAAUCAUUUAGUUGUAUGUAUUUUUCUUAUACUAAAUAUUUAUAUGUUGAAACAAUGAUUUCUUUUUAGAUUUUGAUGCAAAAUGGACUCACAGUCUCUUAGUGGGCCCUUUUUGGGUGGGUCUUUACAAAUUAAGUUUCUAAUAAUAUUAUUAAUAACAGUUUUCUCUUCACAAAUUACUUAGUAAUUUUCUCUUAAUGAUGUAGACAUGGUCUUCCCCUAUGCAAAUUUAGAUCCAAAGCAAAUAGUAUUUAUACUUAAAAAAUAAGUUGGUUUGCUUUGUUAUCAAACUAAUAAAAAGGCUACCACAUGAAUAUAUUCAUAUUAUCACAAAUAUUAGCCUUGCCAAUAUAUUUGAGUUUUUUUCCUCUUUUCCAGCAUAUAAGUGCCAUAAACUUGGAUGCAUGAGCAAAGUUUGGUAAAACACACGGAUGAAUGCCAAGCAAAGACGAUGAAGAUGGAAAUACAGCAACAACCAGCAAGCAUAUAUGCGUAUAUGCAUCAUUCAACUAGUUCCUUUUUAUUUCCAUAUAUAUCACAAAGUGUAAAAGUCCACCAGGGUACAAAAUGUGAAUAGAGAAAAAGAAUACAAUAAUGACAUACAAUUUUUUGUGUUAUUAUUAUUUUUCCUUAAUGUAUUUAUCAUGAUGACUGACUCAUGCCCAAUUGGUGUCUCAGCUGAUUUGUGUUCAGCUGGUGCUCCUUGAUUGAGGAAGUGAUCAACAAAAUUUAUACCUAUAACACCAUACACUAGGGUAGCAAAUACAAAGCUACUAUAGUAUAGUGGCUCUAGGAUCGUUCACUGGGAAUGAUGAACAAGCAAUCAAGGAUACCAAUUCCAAGUGAAUUGGUCUUGUUUCAUUUCACGGUUAGCUUAAGAAGUAAAACACAAAGUUUGAUUGGUAAAGGUUUAGACUUAAACUAACUAACUUAACAGAAGUUUGGAAUAAUUUAGGAAGAAAAGCAUUCCUUGGAGAUUUAGGUUCACUGGGGUGGUUCCUCAUGCAAAAGACAUAGCUCCGGUCAGAUGGUUCAUUUCCUCGCAUUAGAGAUUCAACUUAGAGUCAAUUCUCUAACCGGUGAUGUACAGAGACUCCUUCAAUUAGAUUUCACUUUAAUUCUCUCACUGAUGCAACUUGCAAUGGUUCAUGCCUCUCACGAGCACUUACCAUUCAAGGUGAUCUUUAACCUUGGAUUUCCCUUCACAAACUCGCAAGAGAUAACUAAUGGAUGUCUCCUAGGAGUCCAAAAGCUUACCAAGUGUUGGUAAUUCUAGAAAAUCCUACCCUGAAGUCACCUACCAGAGGCUCGCAAGGGGUAAACUAGUGCAUUUCCACGGUUGGAAAUCACUUGCCUUACCAAGUGUUGGCCUAGGUGACUCCAAAGUGUUUUAAGUUAACUAAAAACAUUGAAAUCACUAAAGGAUUUCACUUCCUUUUCAUUACUAGCUAAAACCACAAAGCUUUGCAUUCUUGCACUUGGAACCUUCCCCGGCAAUCUUAGCUCCAAGGAAUUGGAGGUUUAGUUACUCAUUCUCUGGGGAAAACUCCUCAGAGAAUUCAUAACUUAGAAAUAAAAUGAAAAUACAAAGUGAGAAGGUAAGGCAGUAGAAAGAAAAGACUUUACUUGCUUACCAAAUGGUUACAGAAGGAACUCCUCCCUGAGAACAGGCUCCCGAGAGGUAUAUAUAUCAAAACAAUAUAAAAUUAAUUGUUACCAAGAUAUUUGGUCUUUUUACUAACUUAAAAACUAAGGAAUCAUGUAAUUGGUGGUUUACAAGGAGUAUUUUGGGAUUUAGACAACAAAAAUCUAAUGGAAAAUAUCUCCCAAUGUCGGUAGCAAGCUUCGGGAGGCUUCAGGAGCCAUUUCGUAGGAGAAAAGUGGUGUCUGCGAAAUUUCGCAGACACCCAAGAGGGCUGCGAAAUUAUUUCGCAACACUGAGCUAUCUUCACCAGGCUGCAAAGUUGGCUUCCAUCUUGAGGUUUCCAGCUCCCUUCUCGCGGCAUGGUUCAUGCAUCGUCAGAAGGAGAAACAUCUUACUGUACAAAAGUGCUGCGAAAUUCUCGCAACAAAAGGCUGAUUCCGCAACACUUUAGAGUGACUGGCUUGUAAUGGCUGCAACUUCUUCGUUUCAACUCCGAAUCGCGCACCGUUUGAAGCAUUGGAUUGUUGACUUCCUAAGCUUUGAAAUGGUAUAUAGCUUGCAUCAUUUGGACUUCAGAAAGUGCUCCAAAAGUGGCUGCUACGACUGUCAUCAAGAAUAGGCUUUAUGGCAGAUUCUCUUUGCUUUUUCUCCUUGCAAUCCGGAUUCACUCUUGGCAAUUGAAUUCUAAGCUUUGCCCAAGAUUCCUCAUAGCUCUCCUCAUUCUUGACUUGCUUUGGUGAUCAAAAUACUAACAAAAACACCAAAACUUACACAAAGUGAUCAAAAUUGCUUUAAAGGAUCCUUAACAUGUCAAUUGAGUUAAAAGGCCUAAACUACUACUCAAAAGUGUUAAAAAGGAUUAAUUAAAGGCUAUCAAAUAGCACUUUUUGAGUAGUAAUCAAUGACUAUGUACAAAAACAACAAAUGCAGGGCCUACAUAUUAUGUACUCAGGACUCGUAAGAUUUUCUGAUGUUGGGUGAUGACUAUGCACAUUAGAGGCUGGAGCUUCAUUUAUGUUCAGUAGCCAUAACAACAGGAGUGCUGACAUGCGAACCUGCUCUAGGGGGAGGCAUGGCAUGACCCGCAAACUUCAUUCCAUCAGUACAAGGUGAGCCUUUUUCGGGGAUACGGCCGCAUGAACUUGGUCCUGAAGGAGGGACAGGUCCUGAAAGCAUAGAUUUCAAAGGAACAAUCCUUAUCUUCAUCCACUCUUCUUUCUCUCCAUCAGGAACCCUACUCGCACUGCCGGGUUGGACACUCAGAAUAAAAACCACUGCUGUGACAGCUAAAACAAUGUUUAGAAAUCUCAUGAUGAUUUUGGUUGGGUUAAGCAAACAUGAGAUGAUCAGAUAGAACAAUAUUUUUAUGUGGGCAAUAUGCAUAUUGACGGAGGAGAACAAUCACCGGUUAUUUAUACGAAUGCAGCCAGGCAUGACUAGAGUUCUUGCUAGUUUGGCUUAGUUGAAGGGGUUUUUUUUUACUCUUAGACUAAGGUGGUAUUUGUUUUUUGGCCGAAUAAAAAAAAUCAAAAUAUUUAGUUUUUUCUAUUCAACUAAAAAUAAAAUGUUAACAUCAUUUAACAUAACUAAAUUAAACCUAUUGAUAACAAGUUCAUUUUAAUUAUAUUGAAUGAUGUCAACAGAUUACUUUUAACUGAAUAGAAAAAAUCAAAUAUUUUAAUUUUUUCUAUUCAGCCAAAAAACAAACACCACCUAAUAGAAUUUAAUUUACUCUAAGAGAUUAGAAAUUGAAUAGGUCAUAAAGGAAGAAAAUACCUAGAAUUACCCAAAUGACUAGUUUUCUUGUGUAGUUAAUUUAAUUCCACAUAUGAGUGCAUCUUAAAUCAAUUACAAAGAAAAUAUAUGAUAAUAUGAAUGCAUCUUAAAUCAAUUAGAAAGAAAAUAUAUGAUAAUUUCUCCAAGCUUUUUUGAAAAUAGAUACGAGAAAUUUAUCCAUUCCCAUUAACUUUAAUUAAUAUUAAAAUAUGUAAUUUAGCUUGGUUAAAUAUCAUUAGUUAUCAUUUCCGAGAAAAAGUUAGAUAAUUAUCAUUUUGGAGAGGAGGUUCCAUUGUAUAAUUACAUUUUUCUUCACCAACUUAAGCAUAAAUGGCUUUCCUGUACCAUAUGAAUUGCAGGAGGGGCUGCUAAAACUUAUUUCAUCAAAAAUCAUUGCCGAAUUGUUAGCGUUAAUCUAUAGCAAAAUUAAGUAUUAAUUCAAAAUUUUCUCACAGUUGUAAAGCACUCAAUGGUAGAAAUAAGGGUAGAGACAAAUCUAGGUAGGUAUGGUCUAUGAUGACUUUUGUCUUAUAUGAUACGUACCAUUGACUUUUGCCUUAUAAAUCAAGUUGUGGUAGGAACACGUUUGCUUGACUUGCGGCAUGAAUGUUUGGGGCUUUUAGACGAUAUAAUUCUAUCAGAUUCAAGUCGUUGAACAUAACUCUACUAACACGCAUCAGCUUUUCCACCGUCCAUGUUGACAUAGUUUAACGCACAUGUACCAACCCUCUUUAUCGUGACUUUACCCAUGUUGACAUAGUUUAACGCAUGCUCAAAUUAGUAACUUAGGAUGAAAUUUAAGGCUUAAAGCUAUAUUACCUUGAUAAAUAUGGUUAAUAUGGUUAAUUUGACCCAUUAUCCAACCGACUUGAGUUUUUAAAUCAAAACGGUAAUUUAACAAUUACACUAUUCGUGUACCAUUAAUUGGAAGGCUCUUCAAAUCCCCUUCAUAAAAUCGAGAAAUUAGUGAUUUAUCAAGAUUUUACAAAAAAAAUAAUAAUAAUCUAAUAUUUUUUUAAAAAAAUAUAAUAAUUGAAAAAUUAUUUUCAAAUCUAUAAUAAAAAAUUAUCUUUUGAAAAAACAAUUACAAAUUUUGAAAUUAUCUUCUAAAAAUAUAUUUUUAAAUAAAUAACUUAAUUUAGUCAUAAACAUAUGAGGUUGUGAAACCAAUCAUAUUGAUUUAAUUAAAACCCAGUUAUUAAAUAAAUUGUUAGAUGUAUUACCGAUUUAAUAAUUAUAUCAUAUUUUGAUCCAUAUUUUUAACUUGUGUGAUGUUAUCCAUGCUUUUAACUCGAUUUUCAUUGGUGUCAUGUUUAGAUUAACUUAUUCAAUAGAAUGCUUGAAUUUUGAAAUUAAUAACAUGAAUGUAUCCCAUCAGCACAAAUUACAUAUAUUAGACAAUUGUUUUUAUUACGAUGUUACCAUAAAUCAUAUAUAAUUCACAAAGUUUUGAAACUUCAAUCCAUUCUUCAUAUAUAUAUAUAUAUAUAUAUAUAUAUAUAUAAUAUAACUUUAUAUUCUUAAAAUGAUCAGGUUUAGGUUUUUUUUUUUCAUUUUUUUCCAAAUUAAUAUUUUAUUUUAAGUAAAUUUCUUUUUCCUUUACAAUUUCCUUUUCUAACUUCUUAUAUCUCAAACUACUAUAUUAUUUUUAGUCACCAAUGAACUAAAUUCCUUCUUUUACAAGUUUCUUUUUCACUUCUUUUUAUGUAUUAAUUUUGUGAAAUCAAGGUUUGGCUAAUCUCGAUUUUGAUGAUAACAUAACAAAAUUUAGAACUAAUUAUUAUAUUUCAAGUGUAAUUAGGCAAAAUGAUUUACAAAGUGACAAUCACAAAGACGAAUCAAAUCAAAGAAAAAUAAUGAAGAAAAAAAGACAUCAAAGAGAGGUAUUUUUCAAGACCCAAGCUUCAUAAGAUCUCUUUGUAAAGUUGUUGAUGCACUAGCAUUUUCAAACAUUACAUUCUUUACUUAUGCACCAAAAUCAUCCAAGAGUUAUUUUAUUUUAAAUUUUUAAAAAUUUGAUGAUUUCAUGUUUUCAAUUAAAAUCUUGUGUCAAAUGUUUUCCAAACUUGUUUAAAAUGUUUUAAGUUGAAAAAGUUAGUUGUUGAGCCAAAAACGGCUCAACUAGUUGAACCGGAUGAUUAGUGCACCAUUCAAUCCUAAAUUUCUUGUAUCAUUUGAGUUUAAAGUUUUGUAUUAGGAUUUAAUGAAAUCAUUUAUAAAUCUUUGAGAAGAAAAGUCUAAGUGUAAAGUAUCACUUAGGGAUUCUCAAGUGAGGAGUAUCACUUGAGGGGUUGUUCAAGAUAGGGGUAUCUCUUGAGAAGUGUAAAGAGUGUUUGAAGCCAAAAGUCCAAGAUGGUGGAUUAGAACCAUAAUCCAAUUGUAUUGCUUGAAGGAUUAGUUUGAAAACUUUCAAAUAGUGGAACCUCAAGCUUGAUAUUGAAGCUAAAAGAGAGUGGAUGUAGGUCAGGAUACAUCGAAUCACUAUAAAAUCUUGUAUUUGUAUUCUCUCUUCUCUGCUCUAUUAAUUUAUAUGAAGUUAUCUUUAUAUUGUUUUAUUAUAUACUUGCAUAUAAUUGUUUCUUACAUUCACAUAGUUUGAAUUUCAUCACUCUUUUCACCCCCCCUCCCCCCCGGGGUGAUUACCUUAGAUUGAAUUAGCCUAAUUUUUCUAACAAAUUUUAUCAUCCUCUAUCUUCAGCAAUCUAACUUAUCUAUAACAGAAGUAAAGAAAAAAUUAAUGAUUCGCACCAUCUCCAGCACUGAAUAUUAUUUGAAGAUUUUAUCAUAUUAUAUUUCAUAAAUCCUUGAGAAAAACAUUUGUUCUCCUUUGAAUAAAUGGUAGUAAAGAGACCAAAAUUUAAGUUGAAGACAAGAGAAUGAAUCAUUACUGACGAUAAGGUUUUCAAAGUUUUGGCAAAUGUCAAACCAUACGAUUUGAAUCUUGAUAACCAACCUCAAAGCUUAACGUUGAAGCAUUUGAAUUGGGUCUGAAUCAACUUUUCAACCUUAUAGAAGUAAAGUUUUCCAUAACAAUGGAAAACAGGGAAUGUUUGUUGUUGAACUAGAAGUCAAACCAGUACGCAUGAGAGCAGGUUCAUGGGAAGCUGCCCAAAAAUUAUGUACUCCAGAAGAAUUUUUGUUCCUCUUCCACACUGUUGAACCUCAUUUUCGGUCUUAUUAACUGUGGGGUAAUUGAAAUUGAUCAGAAAAAUAGGCGAGGGAAGGAAAAAUAAAUUUAAACCUUAAAUGACUCUCUCUCUCUCUCUCUCUCUCUCUCUCUCUCUCUCUCUAUCUAUCUAUCUAAUUAACGUGCAAGUAAAUACAUUAUGACUAUCCUGGACAAAUACAGGGAAAAUAAUUCAAAGGGUUGACUAACAGGGAAAAUAAUUCAAAGGGUUGACUCUCUCUCUCUCUCUAUAAUAUAGGAAUUAAUACAUUUUUUUUUCCACAAAACAUCUCUCAUAAUUUUUGAGAAAUAUAUUAAUGUACUAAUAUUUCUUCAUUUUAGUUCCUUCACUGUUAUUUUUUAUAUUCGAAGAGACUAUGAAAAGAAAAUUGUAUCCUCUCCUUCAGAUGCAAUGGCAAAUCUCAAAAUCUUCCUACAAAUUAAAUUGAAAAUUAAAUUUUUAUUAAUGACAUAUGAAGACUACGUAGUUCUUGUAAUAGCAAACUUGGGUAAUAACUCAAAUUGCCGGCAUGCGCCCUGAAUGUCAAAUUAAGAUGGUUGAUGAGGAUGGUAAAGCAGCAACUACCAGCAAAGAUGAUUUCCAACUUAUUCAUUUAUUCUCAAUUUGUCUUAGUGAAAAAACCUUCAGAAGGGUACGUACGUACCACAUGUGAACAAUAAUCAAAAUUACAAAAUACGUAAAAUUGCCAGUAUGUUCUUCAUUAUGUAAACAAACACACAAACUUUAUCACAAGAAUGACAACAUACACGACCCAAUGAAAAGAAUUUCUGAUUUUGGGGGCUCCCAUGGUCGAGCUUCUUCUAUAUAUAUGUUCACUGUCCAGUAGCCAUGACGAACGGAGGGGGAGGCUUGGCAUGGCCUGCAAACUUCAUUCCGUUAUGGCAAGGUGGGGCGCCCUUUUCCGGGAUAUGGCUGCAUGAACUGCUUCCAGAAGGAGGCACAGGACCUGAACUCAGAGAUUGUAAAGGAACAAAUCUUAUCUUGAUCCACUCUUCUUUCUCUCCAUCAAGAACCCUACCAGCACUGUGUGGUUGGACGCUCAGAACAAGAACAAGUGCGGUGACAGCUAAAGCAAUGUUGAGAAACCUCAUGAUCUUUGACGGGUUAAGCAAAGAGGAGAUGAUCAAAGCAAUAUUUUUGGAUGGACAAAUUAAUAUGC
rnacentral:lncRNA from 1 species